GACGAACGCUGGCGGCGUGCUUAACACAUGCAAGUCGAACGGAAAGGCCCUGCUUUUGUGGGGUGCUCGAGUGGCGAACGGGUGAGUAACACGUGAGUAACCUGCCCUUGACUUUGGGAUAACUUCAGGAAACUGGGGCUAAUACCGGAUAGGAGCUCCUGCUGCAUGGUGGGGGUUGGAAAGUUUCGGCGGUUGGGGAUGGACUCGCGGCUUAUCAGCUUGUUGGUGGGGUAGUGGCUUACCAAGGCUUUGACGGGUAGCCGGCCUGAGAGGGUGACCGGCCACAUUGGGACUGAGAGACGGCCCAGACUCCUACGGGAGGCAGCAGUGGGGAAUAUUGCGCAAUGGGCGGAAGCCUGAGGCAGCAACGCCGCGUGCGGGAUGACGGCCUUCGGGUUGUAAACCGCUUUCGCCGGUGACGAAGCGUGAGUGACGGUAAUGGGUAAAGAAGCACCGGCUAACUACGUG
rnacentral:rRNA from 1 species